rnacentral:rRNA from 1 species
CCUACGGGGGACAGCAGUGAGGAAUAUUGGUCAAUGGCCGGAAGGCUGAACCAGCCAUGCCGCGUGAAGGUCAGUGCCCUAUGGGCGUUAAACUUCUUUUGUGCGGGAGCAAUAAUGGUCACGUGUGGCCAGACGAGAGUACCGUACGAAUAAGCAUCGGCUAACUCCGUGCCAGCAGCCGCGGUAAUACGGGGGAUGCAAGCGUUAUCCGGAUUUAUUGGGUUUAAAGGGUGCGUAGGCUGUGAGGUAAGUCAGCGGUGAAAUGCCCCCGCUCAACGGGGUGAAGUGCCAUUGAUACUGCCUGGCUGGAAUGCGGAUGCCGUGGGACGAAUGUGUGGUGUAGCGGUGAAAUGCAUAGAUAUCACACAGAACACCGAUUGCGAAGGCAUCUCACGAAUCCGCGAUUGACGCUGAUGCACGAAAGCGUGGGUAUCAAACAGGAUUAGAUACCCGGGUAGUC